GACGAACGCUGGCGGCGUGCUUAACACAUGCAAGUCGAACGGAAAGGCCCUGCUUUUGUGGGGUGCUCGAGUGGCGCACGGGUGAGUAACACGUGAGUAACCUGCCCUUGACUUUGGGAUAACUUCAGGAAACUGGGGCUAAUACCGGCUAGGAGCUCCUGCUGCAUGGUGGGGGUUGGAACGUUUCGGCGGUUGGGGAUGGACUCGCGGCUUAUCAGCUUGUUGGUGGGGUAGUGGCUUACCAAGGCUUUGACGGGUAGCCGGCCUGAGAGGGUGACCGGCCACAUGGGGACUAAGAGACGGCCCAGACUCAUACGGGAGGCAGCAGUGGGGAAUAUUGCACAAUGGGCGGAAGCAUGAUGCAGCAGCGCCGCGUGCGGGAUGAAGGCCUUCGGGUUGUAAACCGCAUUCGCCUGUGACGAAGCGUGAGUGACGGUAAUAGGUAAAGAAGCACCGGCUAACUACGUG
rnacentral:rRNA from 1 species